rnacentral:rRNA from 1 species
AUUGAACGCUGGCGGCAUGCCUUACACAUGCAAGUCGAACGGCAGCACGGGAGCAAUCCUGGUGGCGAGUGGCGAACGGGUGAGUAAUAUAUCGGAACGUGCCCAGUAGUGGGGGAUAGCCCGGCGAAAGCCGGAUUAAUACCGCAUGAGACCUGAGGGUGAAAGCGGGGGAUCGCAAGACCUCGCGCUAUUGGAGCGGCCGAUAUCAGAUUAGCUAGUUGGUGGGGUAAAGGCCUACCAAGGCAACGAUCUGUAGUUGGUCUGAGAGGACGACCAGCCACACUGGGACUGAGCCACGGCCCAGACUCCUACGGGAGGCAGCAGUGGGGAAUUUUGGACAAUGGGCGCAAGCCUGAUCCAGCAAUGCCGCGUGCAGGAAGAAGGCCUUCGGGUUGUAAACUGCUUUUGUCAGGGAAGAAAUCCCUUGGGAUAAUACCUCGGGGGAUGACGGUACCUGAAGAAUAAGCACCGGCUAACUACGUGCCAGCCGCCGCCGUAACAC